rnacentral:tRNA from 1 species
GGGGGUAUAGCUCAGUGGUAGAGCACAUGCUUAGCCUGAAGGAGGUCUUGGGUUCAAUCCCCAGUACCUCUA